AAUAAAGAAAGCCGAGCCCAUAUACAGCAGAUGAAUUAUUGGCCCUGUCAGAAAACAAGGCAGGCAGGUAGAGCAAGGGGGAGACGCAGUGACAAAUGACGGAUAACAAGCAAACAUGGCUUUUUGGACUGCACUCGGGACAGCGCCCCCCUUCUGUUGCAAAAUGGAAAAACAGCCACAGAGGAGAAAAACAACUUUGAUUGGCAGUCCAGUUCAGCCAGCAAAAAACAGCACAAUAAAAGUCGCCAACAUUUAUAGCGACCUGCGAUGAUGUCAUCGUCACCUAUAGAUUCAUGCUCGUACUGCAACGUUCAUAGUUAUACUGCUUUUAAAAAUUAGUAUUUGACUGUGAACCUUAAAUAUAAUCCUAUGCUAUAAAAGAAAGCACUCAAACCACCACUGGUGAACCAACAAAGGAAUAGUCUUCGUUACAUGGAUUGUGAAGGCAGAACAUAACAGUGGCUGCACAAACAGAUUUUGUUCAUAUUAAUGUACUAACGAUAGCUUUUCCUAUCUUGACAUAGCUGACAUUUAAACGGCAGGAAAUGUAAAGUAUUUAAUGUUUCUUGAUGGUAAUAAAAGGUGGCAGUUCAUUACCCGAAAUUAAACAAUUACAACUAUUUUGUAUUGCCUUUUCAGUUGGAUUCAACUCUAGCAAGAUUGCUCUAUAUACCGUUAGCUUAGGUAGCUAGCUAAAUCAGAAGUUUAGUGAUGCUAUUUUCGCUCACUAGUUAGCUUGUAGUUGACAAGUAAAAAAGUUGAGAUAUUUAAAACUGUUUAAAACUGCAAUAUUCAUAUUGUCAAUGAGCGGUUUGCUGUCUAAACAUGUUGUUUAAAUUUUAAAAAAGACACCAAAGCUAAAUGAAAGAGGUGGUUAAGAGAUGAGUGGUUCCUCUAAUAUAAAAUAAUCCCUUUAUCAAAUGAAUGAACGUUACCCAGGCGACACAGUUAGCCGUUAGCUUUAAUUGUGCUGAAACUAUUUCCAACUGCUUCGUCUCUUGUCAGUUUACCUGUUUGUGCACGCGCUGACACUGGGUUCUCAGUGGGUACUCCAUUUUAC